rnacentral:rRNA from 1 species
UACGUAGGGCGCAAGCGUUGUCCGGAAUUAUUGGGCGUAAAGAGCUCGUAGGCGGCCUGUCGCGUCUGCUGUGAAAUCCCGGGGCUUAACCCCGGGCGUGCAGUGGAUACGGGCUGGCUGGAGGCAGGCAGGGGAGAACGGAAUUCCCGGUGUAGCGGUGAAAUGCGCAGAUAUUAGGAAGAACACCAGUGGCGAAGGCGGCUCACUGGCCCGGUACUGACGCUGAGGCGCGAAAGCGUGGGGAGCAAACAGGG